CAGCCGCCACGGGAAUACGAAGGGUGCAAGCGUUACUCGGAAUUACUGGGCGUAAAGCGUGCGUAGGUGGUGGUUUAAGUCCGUUGUGAAAGCCCUGGGCUCAACCUGGGAAUUGCAGUGGAUACUGGGUCACUAGAGUGUGGUAGAGGAUAGUGGAAUUUCCGGUGUAGCAGUGAAAUGCGUAGAGAUCGGAAGGAACAUCUGUGGCGAAGGCGACUAUCUGGGCCAACACUAACACUGAGGCACGAAAGCGUGGGGAGCAAACAGGAUUAGAUACCCCCGUAGUCCCUGUCUCUUAUAA
rnacentral:rRNA from 1 species